UGGGGAAUAUUGCACAAUGGGCGCAAGCCUGAUGCAGCCAUGCCGCGUGUGUGAAGAAGGCCUUCGGGUUGUAAAGCACUUUCAGCGAGGAGGAAGGUGGUGAACUUAAUACGUUCAUCAAUUGACGUUACUCGCAGAAGAAGCACCGGCUAACUCCGUGCCAGCAGCCGCGGUAAUACGGAGGGCGCAAGCGUUAAUCGGAAUUACUGGCGUAAAGACGCACGCAGGCGGUUUGUUAAGUCAGAUGUGAAAUCCCCGGGCUCAACCUGGGAACUGCAUUUGAAACUGGCAAGCUAGAGUCUCGUAGAGGGGGGUAGAAUUCCAGGUGUAGCGGUGAAAUGCGUAGAGAUCUGGAGGAAUACCGGUGGCGAAGGCGGCCCCCUGGACGAAGACUGACGCUCAGGUGCGAAAGCGUGGGGAGCAAAACAGGAUUAGAUACCCUGGUAGUCCACGCUGUAAACGAUGUCGAUUUGGAGGUUGUGCCCUUGAGGCGUGGCUUCCGGAGCUAACGCGUUAAAUCGACCGCCUGGGGAGUACGGCCGCAAGGUUAAAACUC
rnacentral:rRNA from 1 species